rnacentral:rRNA from 1 species
UGGGGAAUAUUGGACAAUGGGCGCAAGCCUGAUCCAGCCAUGCCGCGUGAGUGAUGAAGGCCCUAGGGUUGUAAAGCUCUUUCACCGGUGAAGAUAAUGACGGUAACCGGAGAAGAAGCCCCGACUAACUUCGUGCCAGCAGCCGCGGUAAUACGAAGGGGGCUAGCGUUGUUCGGAUUUACUGGGCGUAAAGCGCACGUAGGCGGACUUUUAAGUCAGGGGUGAAAUCCCGGGGCUCAACCCCGGAACUGCCUUUGAUACUGGAAGUCUUGAGUAUGGUAGAGGUGAGUGGAAUUCCGAGUGUAGAGGUGAAAUUCGUAGAUAUUCAGAGGAACACCAGUGGCGAAGGCGGCUCACUGGACCAUUACUGACGCUGAGGUGCGAAAGCGUGGGGAGCAAACAGG